CCUACGGGUGGCAGCAGUAGGGAAUAUUGGGCAAUGGUCGAGAGACUGACCCAGCCAUGCCGCGUGCAGGAAGAAGGCGUAUGCGUCGUAAACUGCUUUUGUCGGGGAAGCGGUACCCGACGAAUCAGCACCGGCUAACUCCGUGCCAGCAGCCGCGGUAAUACGGAGGGUGCAAGCGUUGUCCGGAUUCAUUGGGUUUAAAGGGUGCGUAGGCGGGACAUUAAGUCCGAGGUGAAAGACGGUUGCUCAACAAUCGCAGUGCCUUGGAUACUGGUGUUCUUGGGUGAAGUUGAGGUGGGCGGAAUUCAAGGUGUAGCGGUGAAAUGCAUAGAUACCUUGAAGAACUCCGAUUGCGAAGGCAGCCCACUGGACUUCACCGACGCUGAGGCACGAAAGCGUGGGGAUCAAACAGGAUUAGAUACCCUAGUAGUC
rnacentral:rRNA from 1 species